UACGAAGGGGGCUAGCGUUGUUCGGAAUUACUGGGCGUAAAGCGCACGUAGGCGGAUACUUAAGUUAGGGGUGAAAUCCCAGGGCUCAACCCUGGAACUGCCUUUAAUACUGGGUAUCUUGAGUUCGAGAGAGGUGAGUGGAAUUCCGAGUGUAGAGGUGAAAUUCGUAGAUAUUCGGAGGAACACCAGUGGCGAAGGCGGCUCACUGGCUCGAUACUGACGCUGAGGUGCGAAAGCGUGGGGAUCAAACAGG
rnacentral:rRNA from 1 species